GACCUCGGAUCAGGUAGGACUACCCGCUGAACUUAAGCAUAUCAAUAAGCCGGAGGAAGUUGGUAAUGGGUUUUUUUUG
rnacentral:rRNA from 1 species